rnacentral:misc_RNA from 1 species
AAGGCUUGAAAUGUACGGAAAAGCCGUGGAAACACGGUGUGCUUCGGCGUCCUAUACAGGUGGUGCAUGGUUGUCGUCAGCUCGUGCCGUGAGGUGUUGGGUUAAGUCCCGCAACGAGCGCAACCCUUAUCCUAUGUUGCCAGCGAGUAAUGUCGGGGACUCAUGGGAGACUGCCGGUGUCAAACCGGAGGAAGGUGGGGAUGACGUGUAACCGAAUCU